rnacentral:lncRNA from 1 species
GGUUAGUGUUGCUUCCUUUACACUGAUACAAAAUAGUGGGAAUUUUCCUAGAGUGUUAGGUAUGUGAUCUUAUAAACAGGGGAACAAAUUUCUUGAAUGUACAUGUUGAAAUCUAGGGUUUUGAAAUGCCUGCCCUCCCUCCUUCCCUUCUUCCCUUGCUCCUUCCUUCCUUCCUUCCUUCCUUCCUUCCUUCCUUCCUUCCUUCUUUCCUUCCUUCCUUCCUUCCUUCUAGACAGCAUCUUCCUGUUCAUCAUCCAGGCUGACUUGUGGGUGCUGGAAUAAUAGGCAUAGGUUAACCUAGCCAGCUUACUUUUCACUCUUGGAAUUUGUAGAGAGUGACAGGCUAGAACUAGUAGAUGGUGCCAUCGUCUCCUGUCAGUGGCUGAUUGUCCUUCUGUAGAGAACAGAUUAUGCUGGGACAUUGCAGUUACCUCUGUCAUGAGUCCUAAAGCACAGUGCUUUCUUAUUAGACUUUCUGUUCAAAGUUUCAAAUUUUAAUAAACAACUGGGAAAUUUAUAACAAAAACAUAGUUUAUAGUUCUGUCAUGACCCAGUUCUGCUCUCUGCGGUUGGGCUCAAGUCUCUUAGCCCAGCCUCUUAUGGUUUGAUUUUACAGAUCAAGAUGAUCUCCAAGCUGCGGGCCUUGGGAAAACUGACUCAAAGUCACCUCUGGGGCCAGAGAGAUGGCUUAGCUGUUAAGAGCACUUGUACCUGUAGAGAACGUGAGUUAAUUCCAGGGAUCCAAUGCCCUCUUCUGGCCUCAGUCGGUGUCCUUAACCAUACAUACACAUAGUUUCUGUGAACUCUGUAGACGCAAUGAGUUGAAGUGUACUGCCCACAAAAAUGUCUCAUCUUGACAAAAUAAGAAUGCAGUUGGUUGUAAAUAUUGGCUACCCCAUAGUGAGAAAAUAACAGACUGCUCCCACUGUCAGGAGUCUUUAAAGACAUUUCAGUGUUCAAACCAUAAAGGUAGACAGUUUUCAUCUACCAAGCAUGUUAGGGUUUUGUUCAGGAAGUCUAGUUUUUCUCACUUGCAGCGUAUUGUUAGAGAUCCCCCUGGUGAAAAGAGGGGCCUGCUUCUGCAACUUGUUCUCUUGCCUCUCUCUGUAUGUGACGACUGACAGAGAAAAUACGAUGUCUAAGAGAGGAGAAAAUUUACUUUUAUCUCUUUUUAAGAAAAGAUUUAUUGGAACUAGAAAAUAUUCUGGGUGAGGUAACCCAGUCACAAAAGAAUACGCAUGGUAUGCACUCACUGAUAAGUGGAUAUUAGCCUAAAAGCUUGGAAUACCCAAGAUACAAUUCACAGACCACAUGAAGUUCAAGAAGAAGGAAGACCAAAGUGUGGAUGCUUCAGUCUUUCUUUGAACCGGGAACAAAGUACUCACAGUAGGAAAUACAGACACAAAGUGUGGAGCAGAGACUGAAGGAAAGGUGAUCCAGAGACUGCCCCACCUUGGGGGUUCAUUCCUUAUACAGACACCAAACUCGGACACUAUUGUGAAUGCCAAGAAGUUCUUGCUGACAGGAACCUGAUAUAGCUGUCUCCUGAGAGGCUCUGCCAGAACCUGACAAAUACCGAAGUGGAUGCUCACAGCCGGCCAUUGGACUGAGCAUGGGGUCCCCAAGGGAGGAGUUAGAGAAAGGACUGGAGGAGCUGAAGGGGUUUGCAAUCCCAUAGGAAGAACAACAAUAUCAACCAACCAGACCCCUCAGAGCUCCCAGAGACUAAACCACUAACCAAAGAGUACACAUGGCUCCAGCUGCAUAUGUAGCAGAGGAUGGCCUUGUCGGGCAUCAAUGGGAGGAGAGGCCCUUGGUCCUGGGACGGCUCUAUGCCCCAGUGUAGGGGAAUGCAAAGGCAGGGAGGUGGUAGUGGGUGGGUGGGUGGAGGAACACCCUCAUAGAAGCGUGGGGGGGGGGGAUGGGAUGGAGGGUGUUCUGGAGGAGAAAUCGGGAAAAAGGAUAACAAUUGAAAUGUAAAUAAAAUAUCC